GUUGACUUCAAGUAUUAGCCAAAGGAACAUUAACAACUUUAAGAGUGUGUCUGGGUUUGCUACGAAAUUAAAUGAAAGGCGAUAUGGCAGGCCAGUGUUUGGAAAUAUUAACGUGAAUCCCUUAGUCUGGGGACUAAACAGCAACAGCUGAAGCAGAGAUGAAGGUCAAAAGUGACAUGGCCUGCUCUCUAAAGGCAAUGCCAAAAUAACCCUCACUUGCAAGGGAUAGUGCUAGGAUUUGUGCUGGGUUGCUUCAAAGUACACUUUUCGGCUUUUCUCCUCAACCGUGAGGGCUAGAAACUUAAACCUGAGCUUUCUCGCUGAAUCCCAUCUUCCAGAGGAUGAGACUAAAAACACACCAAGUGUUACUUGUGGCUUUCUAUCGUGGCCAGCCGCUUGUGACAACAGAGGCACCGGUAUUGACUAUGGACUUUGGAAACUGCUGCUGAAUCACUUCACAACCUGGUCAUAUUCAGAACGUUAUCCU
rnacentral:lncRNA from 1 species